AUUGAACGCUGGCGGCAGGCCUAACACAUGCAAGUCGAGCGAGCGGCGGACGGGGGGGGAAUGUAUGGGGGAUGCCUGAUAGAGGGGGAGAACUACUGGAAACGAUAGCUAAUACCGCAUACUAUCGGAAAACCCAUAUGGGGUUAGCUAGUAGGUGGGGUAAUGGCUCACCUAGGCGACGAUCCCUAGCUGGUCUGAGAGGAUGAUCAGCCACACUGGUACUGAGACACGGCCCAGACUCCUACGGAGGCAGCAGUGGGGAAUAUUGCACAAUGGGCGCAAGCCUGAUGCAGCCAUGCCGCGUGUAUGAAGAAGGCCCUAGGGUUGUAAAGUACUUUCAGUCGGGAGGCGUUACCGACAGAAGAAGCACCGGCUAACUCCGUGCCAGCAGCCGCGGUAAUUC
rnacentral:rRNA from 1 species